rnacentral:rRNA from 1 species
UACGUAGGGGGCAAGCGUUGUCCGGAUUUAUUGGGCGUAAAGAGCGUGUAGGCGGCUUUGCAAGUCCGUUGUGAAAACUCGAGGCUCAACCUCGAGACGCCGGUGGAAACUGCAAAGCUAGAGUCCGGAAGAGGAGAGUGGAAUUCCUGGUGUAGCGGUGAAAUGCGUAGAUAUCGUAAGGAAGACCAGUGGCGAAGGCGGGUCUCUGGACAGUUCCUGACGCUGAGGCACGAAGGCCAGGGGAGCAAACGGG